rnacentral:rRNA from 1 species
CCUACGGGGGGCUGCAGUGGGGAAUCUUCCGCAAUGGGCGAAAGCCUGACGGAGCAACGCCGCGUGAACGAUGAAGGUCUUAGGAUCGUAAAGUUCUGUUGUUAGGGACGAAGGAUAAGGAUUAUAAUACAGUCUUUGUUUGACGGUACCUAACGAGGAAGCCACGGCUAACUACGUGCCAGCAGCCGCGGUAAAACGUAGGUCACAAGCGUUGUCCGGAAUUACUGGGUGUAAAGGGAGCGCAGGCGGGAGAACAAGUUGGAAGUGAAAUCCAUGGGCUCAACCCCGUGAUGGGGUCCGAACUGGUUUUCUUGAGUGCAGGAGAGGAAAGCGGAAUUCCCAGUGUAGCGGUGAAAUGCGUAGAUAUUGGGAAGAACACCAGUGGCGAAGGCGGCUUUCUGGACUGUAACUGACGCUGAGGCUC